rnacentral:tRNA from 1 species
AUUUCCUUAUCUUAUACGAAAGUAAACAAUUUUUAUUUGUUUGAAGCAGUCAGUGCUGCAGGAAAUG